AUUGCAGGGUUUUACAUAUAGAAUCCAGGGUGAAUAGAAAUACAAGGUUAGACUAAACCAUUAAGAGAAAGUGGCGCAUCAAAGUAUAUUUCGUCAUAAUUUUUUAUCAUUUGAGUGGAAACAAGAUGCAUUUUUUCCCCACAAGGUUGUAUUCAUGAAGCCACAGCUGAGUACGUAAAUAAUUAAUAAAUAUUAAAUCUUAAUUUUUCAAAUUUAAAAGUAAUAGGCUAAUUGAGUAAUAGUAAUUCUAAUAAGUAAAAUUUAUAAGACUGGAACUAUAUAAUGGAGGGAUUACAACUUCUUUUUAACUCGCACAACUUAUUGACACUAGUAGCUAAGGCUUGUAAUUUUUGUGAGUAUUAGUUAUUACUCAGCAGAAGGAGGGAUGGGAGAGAAAAGAACUGGAGAACUCCCUAGAUCCCAAAGACAGUGUGUUCAGAGGGAUUUAAUACAAUGGAUUUUCCUAACAAGCAUUUACAUAUAUGAUAUAGGGAUCACAUUAGUCCAAUGGUUUUAGGCGAGUCAAACGGCUUUAUCUCCUUUCUACAAAGUCUGUUUCGUUCAAGGGAUAUUCCGUCUUCCUUCCUCACUCCCUGGAUGGGAUAUUAUCUCCUUGUAGAGAAGGGUCCUUGAGAGGACAUAUGCCUUACAUAUCAACAUCUGCGAUCUGUGUCACUUCUCACCUAUUGAGUCAUUGUCUCUAUCUUCAAGAAUAUAUAAUUUCCUACAGAUCUCCUAUGGGCUUAUCAUUGACUUCACAAGAAACAGGAAGCUCCAUAAAAAAACACUCCAACUUAAUUAAAGGCUGUGUGUGGCUCAGAAACAGAGAAAGUUCUCACUAUUUUUCUCGUUCAUUGAAAUCCGUUUGUCAACACUGCUUCGUCUCUAAGAACCCUAUUUCAAUCAUCAGAGUCCUUGAUGUGGAGUCCGUGAUGUACGGUCUACAUAGUCAAUUAUAUAAGGUGGACUCUUUUCUCACUCAAAACAAGUGGAAAAUCAUUUUAGAA
rnacentral:lncRNA from 1 species